GAACUGAGUUAUAGCUGUGGAGAUAGUGCCAUUAGUAACUUAUCUGCCGAGAACAACUAGUGCCUGUUUCCUUGUUUGGUUAAACAGUCUUGCCCUCAUCCUACCUCAACAUUUCCUGCACAUAAAGAUAAAGCUGAUGUCUCUGCUUGCCAACAAACUGCUGUGACAAAAACCAAUAGGAAAAACAUAAAGCCAGCAACUUAAAACUGUUGGCUGCUCACUGCAAAGACCUCUGGAAUGCAAAGACUGUUCAUUGCAAGCGGAAUUCCAGGCACAUGAACACAGCACCAUUUUGCAUCCUGAAGUGACUCUGUCUCUGGAUCCCCAGGCCUCCAGAGGGUCAUCAGACUGGAAAAAACAGGUCCUCGAGGAUUCAAAACACAGCUUCUUCUCCUAAGGCACUGACCACAGCAGUGCCCACCUCAGAUCCCUCCAACCCAAUGGACUUGAGAACUCAUUUUCAUUAAAAAUAGAGGAAUGAGCUGCUGCAGUCCUAGCACUGUGCAUCAGAUCAUUACAAAUCCUUCUGGAACUGCCUGAUUAAUCCUUUGUUAUUCAGACUUUCUGCCAGCACCCUGUCACUGCCUCUCAUCCUAAUCCUGCUGCACAAUCCCUUCCCAUCAGUAUUCUCAGCAGUUUGCAAAAACUGGAAUCCUGAGCCAAAAUGUGACAGUAUUCCUCAGGCACCUCACCCAGGCUGCAUAAAUUUACAGAGGGAAAGUUAUCUCACCUACCUUAGGCACCUAUUUUUAGUUGGGAUGAAUCUUCCACUGGAAGUGCCUCUCUCCCCACAGUAACUAUAGACAAUGAUAGCCUUGAAAUAAUAUCUAAAUAACUAAAAUAAAGCAAUAUCAGUCUCAUUUUUUGAUGCCAGGAUUAAAACCAGCACUUGCUGAGUCAGCUUUUAGGUCUCUUUUAUUCUUAUAUCAUUAUAAGAACUCAUUUUCUAAUUCCUUGACUAUUUUAAUUACAUUUAAAUUGAACUUAUUAGCAUUUAAAUGAAACUUCAUUCAAUGCCUCUCAAAAUAGAAAUCAAUUUUAAGAAUUACUUACUCUGCAGUAGGAAAAUGUGCACAUACAGGUGAAUUAAUUGUAUGUUCUUAGAAUCAUUACUAUACUCUUGCUGGCCAGAAAAAAAGAUGAAGAAUUGAAAAAUGCAGUUGUUCUGAAACCAAAAUGCUUUGCUCGACCCUAUUAGAUUUACUGAAAUAAAUUUUGGCAGAUAGGCAUAUUCUGACAUUGCCAAAAUGUCCUGUUUUAUAAUUUUGGAACUGGGUAUCUAAUAUGUCUUUUCAAAAUAUUUUUUCAUGUUUAAUGUUCUUAUGAUGUGUUUCAUUUUGUGUUCUCAAUACAAUUAAAAAGUCAACCAUAAUCAAAAGUUUCUGAGACAUCUCAGUUGAUACAACACAUUUUUCUUAAAACUUUCUCUUCCAAAUAAUUUCAGAAUUUUCAGAAGUUGUGCCUAACUGGCCUAAGAUCAAAUUUGGAAAUCCUCUGCAAAUUUAUUUUCUGCAUAGGUUUGAUUUAUUGCUGAUAUGCCACCAAAAGUGUGUCAGCCAUAAACCUCUUAAAGAGCUGAAAGGAAAAGAGAUUCACUGUUCCUCAGAGAGGACUUUACACUUACUGGGCCAGGACUUAAAAUCUGUUUCCACCACUGCAAGACUACCCAGUACCAAAACACUUUUCUUCAAGUGAAGCUGAGGAGAAAUUGGUGGUAAUUUUUAUGUCACCUUGCACAAUUUAAAGAGUUUAGAGGAUAUAAGAUGAAAUAUUAUAAUCUCUGAAAAUACAGAUGUUAGUUUAUAACAUUAAAAUGCCUGACUGGUUAAAGUUCGUAGUAGCUCUCAUUUGCUUCUGUAAAGUGCAUCUUCAAGAAAUCAGAAAGUAAGUAUUUCUUCAUAGCUGUAGAUUCCAAGGCAUGGGGUUUGAUAUGUUUAUUUAUUAGCAUUGGUCUGUGUAGCAGUGUCUUCAAAUACAAAUUUGCUAUAAGAAGCCAGAUCCCUCAGCCCAUUGAGUCAAUUUUGUGCUACUUCAUAGCUCGCUUCAUAGCAGUGGAAAAUGAUGUGUACCAUCUGGAGGGUUCUCCUGAAUAUUUUCUCUGUGAAGAUGGUUGCUUUAAAGCCAGCAGAGAUGUCUUCACUAUCUCUGACACCUCUGCUGUGCUGCCUGGCAUGAGAGAAAAUGGUGUAUUUACAGAGAAGACAGAGAAUGUGGAGAGAAAAG